GUGAGAGUAUAAAAGGAGGGACGGACGGACAGACAGAGGCACGCGUGGGCAGGCAAAGGUAGGGGGGAGCGGACGGAUGGGCAGACAGAUGGAUAAGGGAUAGAUGGAUGGACGGACGGAUGGAGGAGGUGGUUUGGGUGGAGGUGGAUGGACAGACGGAUGGGUGGACAAGGGAUGGAUGGGUGGACAGGUAGUCUGAUAGGCAGACAGAUGGAUGGACAGACAGGUGGACGGAGGGGAUGAGUUGUGUCUGGAUCGGCAGAUGGACAGACGAAUGGAUGGGUGGAUAAGUGAUGGAUGGACAGAUGGAGGCAAUGUGUUGGAUGGAGGCGGACAGACAAACAGAUGGACAAAGAGAUGGAUGAACAGAUGGUGGAGGUGUGGGUGGACAGGAAGACGGAUGGAUGUUGGGAUGGAUGUGUCGAUAGAGGGCUGGGCUGAAGGAGGGAUGGACAGACAGACAGAUGGGCAGAUGCUGCAGGAGUGGUGGGAGUGACAGCCCCUGCUGUUCCUUAGGUGCCACACGUCCCUUAUGGCUGUGAUGGCUCUGGGACAGGUCCCCAUUGUGCCCAGUGAGCCCCCAGCGCCGUCAUCCCCCUCUCUCCCCCCACAUCCGUCCUACUACCACACCCCAUCCACCUCCACCCACCCUAUCUGUCCUAUUCAUCUUCCUCACCCACCCUCUCCACCCCUUCCACACCCCAUCCAUCCACCUUCUACAUCCACCCAUCCACCUUCUUCAUUCAUCGCACCCACCCAUCUGUCAUCCCUUCUAUCCGUCCAUCCAUCCGUCCAUCCAUCCAUCCAUCCAUCCAUCCAUCCAAUCCACCAUUCAUCCAUCCAUCCAUCCAUCCAUCCUCCCAUUCAUCCGUCCAUCCUCCCAUCCCUCUAAUCCACCAUCCGUCCUCCCAUCCAUUCGUCCUUCCAUCCAUCUGUCCUCCCAUCCAGUCCUUCUCUACCCACCCAGUCCUUCCAGCCAUGCACCUUUCUGUCUUCUCCAUCCAUCUUGUCCAUCCAUUCUAUCGCCCUUCUCCACCUUAGUCCUUCGCCACCCACCAGCCUUCUGCAUCCAUCCAAUCCAUCCAUCCUCCACCCUUCUCCUCCAGCCUUCACUCCUCCAUUCCUCUCUGUCCCUCACUAUUCUCCAUCCUUCACCUCCGCCCUUCAAUUUUCUCCACCCAUUUUUCCUCCUUUUCCAUUUGUCAUCUUCUUCUUCUCCAUCCCUCUGUCAUUGUCUCCAUCUAUUUUCUCCAUCCUUUGCCCUUCUCCAUGCUUCUGUUUUCUCCAUCCAUCCAGUCCAUCCAUCCUUCAUUCUUCUUCAUCCAACCUUCUGUCUUCUCCAUUCUCCAGCCCUCUCCAUCUCUUCUCCAUCCUUUGCCCUUCUCCUCCAUCCUUUACUCUUCUCCAUCCAUCCAGUCCUUCCACUCAUCCAAUCCUUCCAUCCUUUCAUCAUCUCCAUCCUUCUGUCAUCAUCCCAUCCUUUGACCUUUUCCAUCCAUCUGACCCAUCCAGCCUUCAUUCUUCUUCAUCCAACGUUCUGUCAUCUCCAUCCUUUUCCCUUCUCCGUCAAUUCAAUCCUUUCAACUUUCCCCCUUCUCCAUCCAUCCAAUCCAUCCAGCAUUCAUUCUUCUUCAUCCAGUCUUCUGUCAUCUCAAAC
rnacentral:lncRNA from 1 species